AAAUGAAACAUGCUGUGCUGGUUUCUGAAAACCAAGAAGCCUGGAGAGAAAUUUAUGACUUUGAAACAAAAUUUAGAGGUUGAAGGAUUUAGCAGUUUGCAAAGAACAUGGAGCUAAGCCCUUGAAAAAGGCUGUUCAAAAAGUCCUGGCCUAAAGUGCCAAGGUCGUUUUCAGAAGUCCCCGCAGAAGCUCUUAGGAAUCGGAAACCGUAAAAAUGGGGAGAGAGUAUUUUGAAGACAUCUUUCCCCUGAAAGCUGUUGCUUGUGAGCCUGUGCAUUUUCCCACACGAAUAUGCUCGGCCGUUAUGUUAGCCAGGCAUUUCCUGCAUGCGGCAGUUCUGGAGGCCGGAAGUCCAGGGUCAAGGUGACAGUGGAUUCGUUUCCUGGUGAGGACCCUCUUCCUGGUUUGUACAUGUGAUUCCUAGCAGUCUCCAUUUUGAAGUUCUCUUCUCCUUUGACCAAGCAUCCAGCACAUCCUCACAACACUCCAAAGCCACCUUGAAGACUCUCUUCAAAGCAGUUCUUACUGUUGAUACCACCACCAUUGUUCCGA
rnacentral:lncRNA from 1 species